GCGGGGGUAGCGAAGCCUGGUCAAACGCGCAGGAGCAUUGCUGCGAAACUUAAGACCAGUGCCAUAAUGUGGCACCCAUGUGUAAGUGGGAGAUAUCCUGUCACUUAGUGUGUCCGAGGGUUCAAAUCCCUUCCCCCGCA
rnacentral:tRNA from 1 species